AUUAAUUCCAAAGGAAAUAGGGCUUUCAAGCUCCCUGUCGGUAGGAAAUUAUAAUCCUGGGCAAAGGAAGAGGAAACGUUCCUCUAUGAUCAACACCAUCUCAGUGAGAACUGCGUUCUGCGCAAGCUGUCCCACCGACCGCAUCGGGGCUGGGGGAGGGGGAAGAUGGAGUAAGGAGGCCUGGAAGAUGAGCCGCGUCUUCCUCGUGCUUUUUGCCCAUGGUUGGCUCGUCCUCUUGGUGUUCAGAGCAGGAGCUGUAGCAUCCAGAGCAAGAACUCGCUUGCUUUCUCCGCGUUGGUGAAAUCUUUGGCUCGCUGGCCUGUCCCGGCCUGCUAACUGGCAAGCAAACCCUGGACCGGUUACCCAAGUCUUCUUGGAGUCCUGAGGAUGCCAGUCAUUCUGUGUUAGCAGUGCAAUUGCUCAAGAACGUGGAGUUCAGAAUGGGCUCUAACAGGGUAUUUCUGGAGCGAUGUCUAAUUUACUGAGUGAUUAUGCAAAGCAUAAAGUGUGCUGUGGUCCUGGGAAUAAUGCAACACUUCCCUUUAGUUGUUGUGGUGAAUUAAUGAUACUUGUGAUCCUGAACGUCUUACUCACAAAGGCAUGUGCCCAUGCGCGAUAAGCCAAACCCUGAGACGUGCUUGGAGGUGGAGAACGGUUUAUUGGAACUGGCCAAAAUGAGAAGGAGGGUGGAUAGGUUCUCUCAAAUCCGCCAAAACAAGAGAAGAAAGCAGGGGGUUUUAUAGCACUAAGGGGCUUGGAAGGAGGAGUUUCGCAGAAACAAAGGGGAAAUCUGUGUUUCUUUCACUCCAGACAAGCUCUUGGGCAAUCUGACUUCUGGGAUCAAUGGCGUCUAGAGGCUGGUUAUCUGGCGAUCGUAACUUCCUUGAAGGUGUUCUGUUUCUUCUGGAAAACAAGCCCAUAAAUCCUUGUGACCCUUGAGUCACCCUGAAGGUUAAACAAGAAAACAGCAAAUUAACAAGAUUAAUUUCUUUUCAUCUGUCUGUGUUGGGAACAUGGUUGAAGGGUAAUUAUAUAUAUUAUUGAAUAUUUACAGUAACCCUCGGGUACCAGCCUCACUGGGUGCUUUCCUGCCCCAAAUGAACUACAAAUAGUAUUUUACAAAUAGUAGUUGGAUUUGUACUUUUGAAUUUUAAGAUUUCCAACAUAUUUCAUAUACACAAAAGGGGCAAGCCCUUUUCCACAACGUUUCCAACUUCUUCACGGAAGCCUAAGCCCCACGUGACCAAAAGCUCAUACUCUGCUUCGUCAAGGAGAUCACACAGUUACAGCUGCCAACAACUCCCGGGAGUCCUUUGAAAAAUGGCUCAGAAAAAGGCUCUGGAUUCAGGGCCGCCAUUAUGAAGGAAAGGGAAAAACCAGGCAGUUGGCUUUCUGUCCCUAAAAGCUGUGCUGUGACACGGAGAGGCUGGGAGCACUGCCCUUGACGAACUUACUGUGCAGGAUGUUCACUGCCAUCUGCUGGGAGCAGGCGAAGUUGACAUACUGUUACUCCAGAAGCUACCCUUACAGGAGAAACUGAAACACAGCUGCUGCAUUGUGAAUCCACGCCGGGAAAGAAACGGUGUCCAGUGAAUAAUGAGAAGGCCCCAGAAUGGCUCCUCUAACAAUCCUGCUUCUUCCUUUACUGGAAUCCUUCCUUGUGGGCUCAACAGCGACUCAUGCAUCGAGGGGAGUGGGACUUGGGACUCAAAGGCACAACAGGGCAGAAAGGAGGCCACAACUCACUGCUGGGAACUGGACCAGACGAGUCAACAAUGGCAAAGAAGUCCUGGAAUAUGAGCUUCAAAAUCUCAGUCAAAACUCACCCCUAAGAGAAUCUACCUGAUGAAUCUUAUUCGAUCGUGUCAGCUCUUUAACUACUGGUCAUCCUUUCAGCAUGCACUCAGUUAUUUAAGUGGUGAACUGACAGAUCCACCAAACCAAGGCCUGCAUGCCAGGAAGUGUGAGCUGUUGAUCUGUGUAUAGACAUCACCAGCCUUUUGGAGGACAAUUCCCGUGUAUUGGAGACCUGGUAAAUCACGCAUUAUUCCCUCCACCUCCCCACUCACCCUCAAAACAUUGACAUUUUUGUUAAGUGAAAUUCUAUUAAAAUAAAUAUCAAGGAAUGACUUUAUCAAGGGAACCAAAACUGGGACCUUUAGGCAAUAAAACAAUA
ensembl:lncRNA